rnacentral:tRNA from 1 species
ACUGGGAUGGCAGAGCACGGUAAUUGCGAAAGACCUAAGCCCUUUCACCCAGGGGUUCAAAUCCCCUUCCCAGUU